GGUGCCCAGUGCCCACGCCGCGCAGCGCGCAGGGCUGGGCCGCCUAGGGGCGGUAGGGGCCGAGGGGCGCUCGCCCGCUAGCUGAGCAGCCGGCAGCCAACCGAACAAAGUCAGCCUGUCGUAGUGAACCAAGGUUUAAACUAUGAAAAGGAAGAAGGGCGGCAGUGCUGCUACUGAUUUCUACGAUGCUAGUUAAAAGAGAUAUGGUUUUUCGGUAUGGCAUUGUGUACAAACUUCUCAAAUUGGUUCUAGUUCUUCCUGUUGCAACUGCUAGUGUUGAGAGAAUCUUUUUUGCAAUGAACACUAUCAAAAACAAGCUAAGAACUUAAGAAGAAAGAUGAGGCAGAAAUUUUGAAUAAUUGUUUGACCACAUUCCUUAAAAAGGAAUUUUUUUUGCAAACGAAAGAUGAGGACAUCAUCAAGUAUUUUCAAACUACGAAGGAACAUAAAGUUAUUUUAUAAUUUGUAAGCAUCCUUAUCAAUGCCAUUUGUUCUAGUACAUAUAUUAUCUAUAUGUUGAAUAAUUUCAAAUUAUGAACAAUUUGUGUUGUUAUUACUCAAUCAUAUGCUACCUACUAAUAUGUAUGUUGGGCUGUUAAUUUUUUUUUGCACUCCUUGAAAUUUUGAAUACCCGGCUCCCAAAUCCUGAGCCCGCCCUGUUCGCAAGUUUGUUGCAGUUGUGGCGAGAGUUGUGGAAGACGUGGACUGGGCUUGGAUGGAUCCAGGUAUGCCUCCAUGGCCAGCUUUCACAAUCUAUAAAAGCUUGGCUUAACAGUCAACACUCUAGCGGUGACUCAAAAAAAAAAAAAAGAGUUAACACUCUAGCUUCUGGUUGCUACAGGCCCAGCUUUUUACAAUCUGGGCGGAUUCAAACUGGCCGGCAUCUUUUUUCUGACAGGUUCUUUCGAAAAAUAACACUACGUUUUUGUAUGAAGAUUUAGUGUCACGUAGUUGUGUCAUCAAUAAUAUUGAUACAAUAUUAGCAUUACUUAUAUUGAUGGGGGUUAUAAUUGUACUGAAA